rnacentral:rRNA from 1 species
GCCAUGCGAAGCGAACGCGGUGAACUGAAACAUCUAAGUAACCGCAGGAAAAGAAAUCAACCGAGAUUCCCAAAGUAGUGGCGAGCGAAAUGGGAUGAGCCUUGCACUCUUUAUUUGUAUUGUUAGCCGAACGCUCUGGAAAGUGCGGCCAUAGCAGGUGAUAGCCCUGUAGGCGAAAACAGUAUGAAAGAACUAGGUGUGCGACAAGUAGGGCGGGACACGUGAAAUCCUGUCUGAAGAUGGGGGGACCAUCCUCCAAGGCUAAAUACUCGUGAUCGACCGAUAGUGAACCAGUACCGUGAGGGAAAGGCGAAAAGAACCCCGGGAGGGGAGUGAAAUAGAUCCUGAAACCGCAUGCAUACAAACAGUCGGAGCCUCGUAAGGGGUGACGGCGUACCUUUUGUAUAAUGGGUCAGCGACUUACGUUCAGUAGCAAGCUUAACCGUAUAGGGCAGGCGUAGCGAAAGCGAGUCCGAAUAGGGCGUUCAGUUGCUGGGCGUAGACCCGAAACCAGGUGAUCUAUCCAUGGCCAGGAUGAAGGUGCGGUAACACGUACUGGAGGUCCGAACCCACUAACGUUGAAAAGUUAGGGGAUGAGCUGUGGAUAGGGGUGAAAGGCUAAACAAACCUGGAAAUAGCUGGUUCUCUCCGAAAACUAUUUAGGUAGUGCCUCGUGUCUCACCUUCGGGGGUAGAGCACUGUCAUGGUUGGGGGGUCUAUUGCAGAUUACCCCGCCAUAGCAAACUCCGAAUACCGAAGAGUGCAAUCACGGGAGACAGACAUCGGGUGCUAACGUCCGGUGUCAAGAGGGAAACAACCCAGACCGCCAGCUAAGG